rnacentral:rRNA from 1 species
GACGAACGCUGGCGGCGCGCUUAACACAUGCAAGUCGAGCGAAGCGGCGGACGGGUGAGUAACACGCGAGUAACCUGCCUGACACAUUGGGAUAGCAUCGGGAAACCGGGCUUAAUACCAAAUGGUCUAAGAUUGACUCGCGUCCCAUUAGCUAGCUGGGGGGUAACGGCCCACCAAGGAGACGAUUGGUAGCCUGCAUGAGAGGGUGAACGGCCACUUGGGAACGGGGAAACGGUCCAAACUCUACGGGAGGCAGCAGUGGGGAAUAUUGCACAAUGGAGGGAACUCUGAUGCAGCGACGGCGCGUGAACGAAGAAGGCUUUCGAGUCGUAAAGUACUUUUAUAUGGGAAGCGGUACCAGAAGAAAAAGCCCCGGCUAACUACGUGCCAGCAGCCGCGGUAAUAC